GGGUCGUUAGCUCAGUUGGUAGAGCAGUUGACUUUUAAUCAAUUGGUCGCAGGUUGGAAUCCUGCACGACCCACCA
rnacentral:tRNA from 1 species